rnacentral:pre_miRNA from 1 species
UGUUCGUGCUCAUGGUCGUGACCGUGCUCAUCGUGAUCAUGAUCGUGGUGAUGCUCAUGAUCGUGAUCCUCAUGGUCAUGGUCAUGAUCAUGCUCC